GUGCUCGCUUUGAUAGCACAUAUACUAAAAUUGGUACAAUACAGAGAAGAUUAGCAUGGCUCCUGCACAAGGAUGUCACACAAAUUCAUGAAGUGUUCCAUAUUUUU
ensembl:snRNA U6 U6 spliceosomal RNA